rnacentral:rRNA from 1 species
UGGGGAAUCUUGCGCAAUGGGCGAAAGCCUGACGCAGCAACGCCGCGUGAGCGAAGAAGGCCUUCGGGUUGUAAAGCUCUGUCAGGAGAGACGAAGCCACUCGGGUGAAUAGCCCAGAGGGUGACGGUAUCUCCAGAGGAAGCCCCGGCUAACUACGUGCCAGCAGCCGCGGUAAUACGUAGGGGGCGAGCGUUGUCCGGAAUCAUUGGGCGUAAAGCGCGUGUAGGCGGCUUGUCAAGUCCGAUGUGAAAUCUCGGGGCUCAACCCCGAAACUGCAUUGGAAACUGGCUUGCUAGAGUCCGGAAGAGGAGAACGGAAUUCCUGGUGUAGCGGUGAAAUGCGCAGAUAUCAGGAAGAACACCGGUGGCGAAGGCGGUUCUCUGGGACGGUACUGACGCUGAGACGCGAAAGCGUGGGGAGCAAACAG